rnacentral:rRNA from 1 species
UACGGAGGGGGCUAGCGUUGUUCGGAAUUACUGGGCGUAAAGCGCACGUAGGCGGACCAUCAAGUUGGGGGUGAAAUCCCGGGGCUCAACCCCGGAACUGCCUUCAAAACUGUUGGUCUGGAGGUCGAGAGAGGUGAGUGGAAUUCCGAGUGUAGAGGUGAAAUUCGUAGAUAUUCGGAGGAACACCAGUGGCGAAGGCGGCUCACUGGCUCGAUACUGACGCUGAACGGCGAAAGCUAGGGGAGCAAACGGG